rnacentral:tRNA from 1 species
CCCGACUGGCCGAGGUCCAGCCCCUCGUCGACGUCGAGGCGGGGGAGGGGGUCCUCGACGCGCACGUCCGGGUCGAGCGCUCGGGG